CCUAACCCGGAUGAUGCUGGGAUAAUUGUGUGCCGCCCCAUGGGUCUCCCGGUCGCAGCCAGCUGCGACAGAGCCUGGACUAGAAACCGGGAUCUCUAGUGGCACAGCUAGCACUGCGAUGCAGUGCCUUAGACCACUGCGCCACUCGGGAGGCCCUGGCUAAAUGAAGGUACACAAAAACUCAUCUCAGUCAUUUCUUAGAAUCUUUAGAAGCUCUCAAUCAGUUCUCAAUAAGACAGAUUGAAGCCCAGACAGGUUCAUUGUGACGCUACUGUACCAUUUCCAUAUGAAACGAGUGCUCUUGUUUAUUAUGACCGGCAGUUGAGAACUGAACCGCCCUGUGAUUGUGUCAGAGAUGCGUAGACAAAUAGAAAAUGACCACGGGUGGCCAGGCCUAGUUGCUCUGCUUGCCCAAAGGGAUGGAGCACUGAAGAGGCCGGCUGAGGCUGACCACGAUCAAAACACAAACAGCUGAUGUACUGUACAGUCCAACCACUGGCUACCAGCCUCCCACCAGAAAAAAUAUUUUUGGUACAACUGUGAAAUCAGCAGCAGGGAGGGGCUGGGGGUCAAAGGCCAUUGUAUGAGCAACUAAUGAGUUUCAUAUAGAAAGGGAGAAUGAGGUCAGUGCUCUGGGGAGAUGGUGGCCUCCCAUUGAGAGAGAGUCACUGGGACUGGUCUAAGACUGGUCACCAUCAUGUCACCGUCUGAGGCCGGGCACGCUUCACUCUCCCCCCACCGCUGACCCACAUAUCUGCUGGAGAGGAAACUUGUCAAGCAUUGCAUCAGGGUCAAGGAGCGUCUGUCCUCACAGAAUUCUCACAGAACACCAAUAUUGGAAGCAUCAGGGAGUUUUUUUUGUUUUGGCUGGUGACGUCGGGUCCGGGGUUGCUGCCAAAGGAACCGAGGGUGCCCCAGCUGGCUCAUCGGGCUUCCAUGCCUGCCUCGAGAGGGCUCCUUGCCUUGGUUGGCUCAGCAGGCUCCCACUCCUGAGCCGGUUCGUCAGGCUCCCACGCCUCGCCGGUUCAUCAGGCUUCCACAUCUCAGCCGGCUCAUCAGGCUCCCAUGUCUCAGCUGGUUCGUCAGGCUCCCACGCCUCAGCAGGAUCAUCAGGCUUUCACGCCUCAGCCGGCUUGUCAGGCUCCCAAGCCUCAGCCGGCUCGUCCGACUCCCAUGUCUCGGCCAGCCCGUCAGGCUCCCUAGAGUACUGUCACGCCUGCUCCCGCUCCACCCUCCUGGCACUCGAGGGUGCCAGGCUGCCUGUCAUUACUCACACCUGUCACCAUCAUUACGUGCAUCAGAGCAAUAUUGGAUACAUUGGACUCACGUGGUCUCCUUAACUUUGUUGAUUGCCCCCUCUAUAUCUGUCUGUUCCUCAGUUUGUUCCCCGUGUCAGCAUAUUGCCAUUAUGUUUCCCCUGUCUAGACGCUGUCCUUGUUUGUUUCAUGUCAGUUAUUUACUAAAUGUUCACUCCCUGUACUUGCUUCUCGUCUCCCAGCGUCUGUCCUCACAUAUAUCCAUUGUCUAGCUGGAAUAGAAUGUGUGUAUCCUGUACAUUUGACUGGGAUAUGUGGUUGUCUCACCUAGAUAUCGUAAGAUGAAUAAACUUAUAAAGUCGCUCUGGAUAAUAGCAUCUGCUAAAUUAUUAAAAUGUCAAACGUAAAUGUUUUACUUACAGAUCUGAUAUUACUAUAUAUAUUUUUUUAAAUUGUCACAAAUGUAUUAUUUCUCUGAGAGUGAGGAGGAUAUGCACUGUACGCUGAGUAUACAGAACAUUAAGAAUACCCAGUCUUUCCAUAACAUAGACUGGCCAGGUAAAUCCAGGUGAAAGCUAUGAUCCCUGAUUGAAGUCACUUCAAUCAGUGUAGAUGAAGGGCAGGAGACAGGUUAAAGAAGGAUUUGUAAGCCUUGAGACAUGGAUUGUGUAUGUGUGCCAUUCAGAGGGUGAAUGGACAAGACAAGAAAUGUAAGUGCCUUUGAGCAGGGUAUGGUAGUAGGUGCCAGGCACACCGGUUUGUGCCAAGAACUGCUAUACUGCUGGGUUUUUCAGGCUCAACAGUUUCCCGUUUGUAUCAAGAAUGGUCCACCACCCAAAUACAUCCAGCCAACCUGACACAACUGUGGGAAGCAUUGGAGUCAACAUGGGCUAGCAUCCCUGUGGAACGCUUUCAACACCUUGUAGAAUCCAUGGCCCUGACGAAUUGAGGCUGUUCUGAGGGCAACAAUAUACUCAGUAUACUCAGUGUAUAGCAUUUUGCAAAAACAAAAACAUAAUUAUUUGUCUAUCUGAAACUCUUUAUGUAGAGAAUACCCUUUUGGACAACAGACGAUAGCUAUACUAACAUCAUUAUAACAGAUUUUUCACCAACCAGUUUAAUUGGAAUGU
rnacentral:lncRNA from 13 species